ACAAUGUGAGAUGCCCAGGAAGCUUUGCUGUAAUCCUGAAUCUUUAGACUUUUCUAGGAGACUUGGGCAUCACAAGAUCAAAACAGAGACCUUCACACUCAAGUUUUUAAGACAGAGAAAAGUUCCUUGAGCAAAUGCAAGAAACACCAAAAACAAUCCAUUGAUACACUUGGUGACAUUAAUUGAGAAAAAAACAAUAUGGUCUGGCCAUGGAGGCAUGGUAUCCGUAACAUCCCCCAAAGGAGCUAAAGAAGAAAUCCACAAUUUACCAUGAGCAUUUCUCGUCUGAAGAUUGCCAAGCGAUUCCUCCAGGACAUUCCUCAAGAUCAAUUUCUGUUCAUCCACCUUGUCCUGGGAGGGACAUCAAUGGGUUUCCAUGUCCUUUGGCUUCUGGUUGAGUUCACUCAGUGGAGAACCCUGGCAAGAGGCAGGAAAAGGGGAGGAAGGUGAAAACCAUCCAUUUCUUGGAGAAGUGCCACGGUGGGGUUGCAAGUCCCAGGAUCAAGUUUUCGAUGUGUCUCUUUUUCCCGUAAAGUGGCUGAAAUCUGAAGCUGAAUCUGCAAGUGUCAUGGAGUCAUUGAAUCUCACAGUCUCAACUGAUAAAAGUUAUUAAAGGUAAAAAUGGUGCUACCCUUGGAAAUCCAAGAGCAGCUUCAAGAGUCAACUAUACCAGCAAUCCCUAAAGCUGGAGAAUUUAUGCCCAUGGAAAAGUCUGUAGCGUUUUGCAAACUGU
rnacentral:lncRNA from 10 species